GUAUAAGAGACAGCAGUCGCCGCGGUAAUACAGAGGGUGCGAGCGUUAAUCGGAUUUACUGGGCGUAAAGCGUGCGUAGGCGGCUUCUUAAGUCGGAUGUGAAAUCCCUGAGCUUAACUUAGGAAUUGCAUUCGAUACUGGGAAGCUAGAGUAUGGGAGAGGAUGGUAGAAUUCCAGGUGUAGCGGUGAAAUGCGUAGAGAUCUGGAGGAAUACCGAUGGCGAAGGCAGCCAUCUGGCCUAAUACUGACGCUGAGGUACGAAAGCAUGGGGAGCAAACAGGAUUAGAUACCCCCGUAGUCCCUGUCUCUUAUAC
rnacentral:rRNA from 1 species